rnacentral:rRNA from 1 species
GAUGAACGCUGGCGGCGUGCCUAAUACAUGCAAGUCGAGCGAACAGAUGAGGAGCUUGCUCCUCUGACGUUAGCGGCGGACGGGUGAGUAACACGUGGAUAACCUACCUAUAAGACUGGGAUAACUUCGGGAAACCGGAGCUAAUACCGGAUAAUAUAUUGAACCGCAUGGUUCAAUAGUGAAAGACGGUUUUGCUGUCACUUAUAGAUGGAUCCGCGCCGCAUUAGCUAGUUGGUAAGGUAACGGCUUACCAAGGCAACGAUGCGUAGCCGACCUGAGAGGGUGAUCGGCCACACUGGAACUGAGACACGGUCCAGACUCCUACGGGAGGCAGCAGUAGGGAAUCUUCCGCAAUGGGCGAAAGCCUGACGGAGCAACGCCGCGUGAGUGAUGAAGGUCUUCGGAUCGUAAAACUCUGUUAUUAGGGAAGAACAAAUGUGUAAGUAACUAUGCACGUCAUGACGGUACCUAAUCAGAAAGCCACGGCUAACUACGUG